GGUUCGGUGGUGUAGUUGGUUAUCACGCUUGUCUAACAUCCAAAAAGGUGCUGGACACAAGAGGUCCCCGGAUCGAGCCCGGGCCGAAUCA
rnacentral:tRNA from 1 species